rnacentral:miRNA from 1 species
AGAUGAGAAGGGGGAGGAGAGAGGGGAGGGGGAGAGAGAGGGGAGUAAGAGANCAUAUUCAUUCUCUCUCUCUCUCUCUCUCUCUCUCUCUCUCUCUCCUCUCUCCUUCCUGGUGCCAUUGU